ACAGACUAUGAUAGGGGUCAGUAGAUAACAGACUAUGAUCGGGGUCAGUAGAUAACAGACUAUGAUAGGGGUCAGUAGAUAACAGACUAUGAUAGGGGUCAGUAGAUAACAGACUAUGAUAGGGGUCAGUAGAUAACAGACAAUGAUAGGGGUCAGUAGAUAACAGACUAUGAUAGGGGUCAGUAGAUAGCAGACUAUGAUAGGGGUCAGUAGAUAACAGACUAUGAUAGGGGUCAGUAGAUAACAGACAAUGAUAGGGGUCAGUAGAUAGCAGACUAUGAUAGGGGUCAGUAGAUAGCAGACUAUGAUAGGGGUCAGUAGAUAACAGACUAUGAUAGGGGUCAGUAGAUAACAGACUAUGAUAGUGGUCAGUAGAUAACAGACUGUGAUAGGGGUCAGUAGAUAACAGACUAUGAUAGGGGUCAGUAGAUAACAGACUAUGAUAGGGGUCAGUAGAUAACAGACUAUGAUAGGGGUCAAUAGAUAACAGACUAUGAUAGGGGUCAGUAGAUAACAGACUAUGAUAGGGUCAGUAGA